GCAGAAGCAGGUUUAGGUGUCACAAGCUUACUCAAAACAGAAGGUGAAUCAAGUGCAGAUCUAGAUGGCGGUUCCUUACCUCCCCUCAUAGUUGAGGGAAAAAUCUAGGUUUUUGGAUCUCUCAAGUUCUUCAUAAUGAUAAGCAGAUAUAAAUCCCAAGUGACUCAAAGAAUAGAGCUAUGCUCCCUGGCAACGGCGCCAGAAAAUAGUCUUGAUAACCCACAAGUAUAGGGGAUCGCAAUAGUUUUCGAGGGUAGAGUAUUCAACCCAAAUUUAUUGAUUCGACACAAGGGUAGCCAAAGAAUAUUCUCAAGUAUUAGCAGCUGAGUUGUCAAUUCAACCACACCUGGAAACUUAGUAUCUCCAGCAAAGUGUUUAGUAGAAACGUAAUAUGUUAGUAGUGGUAACGGUAGCAAAAGGUAAUUAUAGCAAAAGUAAUGUUUUUGGUAUUUUGUAGUGAUGACAGCAAUAGCAACAGAAAAGUAAAUAUGCGAAGAACAAUAUAUGGAAAGCUCGUAGGCAAUGGAUCAGUGAUGGAGAAUUAUGCCAGAUGUGGUUCAUCAUGUAAUAGUCAUAACCUCUGGUGACACGGAACUAGCUCUAGUUCGUCGAUGUAAUGUAGGCAUGUAUUACGAAUAUAGUCAUACGUUCUUAUGGAAAAGAACUUGUAUGACAUCUUUUGUCCUACCCUCCCGUGGCAGCGGGGUCCUUACGGAAACUAAGGGAUAUUAAGGCCUCCUUUUAAUAGAGUACCAGAACAAAGCAUUAACACAUAGUGAAGACAUGAACUCCUCAAACUAUGGUCAUCACCGGUAAGUAUCCCGAUUAUUGUCAAUUCGGGGUUAACGGAUAAUAACACAUAAUAGGUGACUAUAGAAUUGAAAGAUAGGAUCAAGAACUCUCAUAUAUUGAUGAAAACAUAAUAGGUUCAGAUGUGAAAUCAUGGCACUCGGGCCCUAGUGACAAGCAUUAAGCAUAGCAAAGUCAUAUCAACAUCAAUCUCAGAACAUAGUGGAUACUAGGGGUCAAACCCUAACAAAACUAACUCGAUUACAUGAUAGAUCCCAUCCAACCCAUAACCGUCCAGCAAGCCUACGAUGGAAUUACUCACACACGGCGGUGAGCAUCAUGAAAUUGGUGAUGGAGGAUGGUUGAUGAGACGAUGGCGACGAAUUCCCCUCUCCGGAGCCCCGAACGGACUCCAGAUCAGCCCUCCCGAGAGGUUUUAGGGCUUGGUGGCGGCUCCGUAUCGUAAAACGCAAUGAAUCCUUCUCUCAUAUUUUUUUCUCCCUGAAAGCAAAUGUAUAGAGUUGGUCUUGAGGUUGGAGGAGCUCUAGGGGACCCACGAGGCAGGGGGCAUGCCCCCCACCCUCAUGGACAGGUGGUGGGCCCCCUGGCCUUCAUCUUUUGCAAGGAUUUUUUAUAUUUUCUGAAAAGUUUUUCCGUAAAGUUUCAGGUCAUUCCGAGAACUUUUGUUUCUCCACAUAAAUAGCACCAUGGUAAUUCUGCAGAAAACAGCGUCAGUCCGGGUUAGUUCCAUUCCAAUCAUGCAAGUUAGUGUCCAAAACAAGGGCCAAAGUGUUUGGAAAAGUAGAUACGACGGAGAUGAAUAGGACCCCGAUUGAUCAAGCCGGUUGGGGCUGGAUGCACGGGACCCUGUGGAGGGCUGGAUGAACAGGACCACCCCGUGGAGGGCAGGAUGAAUAGUAGAUGGUGGAGGGCUGGAUGAAUAGUAGCCCGUGGAGGGGUGGUUGAACAUGAGCCCGUGGAGAGGGCUGGUUGAACAGUAGCCGGUGGAGUAGCGCGUGAUGGAGGCUGGAUUAACAGGAGCCCAUGGACGAACAGUCGCAGGUGGAGGCUGGAGGAGGUCGACGGUGGAUGAACAAUAUCCCAUGGAGGCUAGAGGGGGUCGACGGUCGAGAUGAACAGUAUCCCGUGGAGUCCCGUUCUGUAGUACGCCACACCCCUCCCGAUGAACAGGACCCCAUUUCGACCAUAGCGCUCCAACACAAGUCCUUUUCCUCCGUUUUGCGGUACGCCACACCCCUCCGAUCAACAGGACCCCCGUUUCGACCAUAGGAGGUCCGUUUCCUCCGUUUUGCGGUACGCUAGACCCCUCCCGAUGAACAUGAUCCUGUUUCGACCGUGGACGGUCGAACACAAGGCCGUUUCCUCCAUUCUGCGGUACACCAGACCUGGUUUCCAUCGGCUGUUCCGUCCAAGCCCUCCCGAUGAACAUGACGACGCAUUCCAUUCCGACAAGCCGGUUGGCUCCCCAUGAGCACGACAAUGAUGCAGUUUCUCCGUUCUGACCCAGCCAUGUACACGAGCCCUAGUCGUACGUAUGCGCGAGUAGGCGUUCGAGACCCUUCCCGUAUGUACAUAUGUGGCCGUAUUUUCUUUCUUGCACACUGACCACUGUACGUACGUGUACAUGCUACGUGCGCGUCUCUACAUCGACCAGUAUGUACGUACACGUUCGCGACUAGAAUGACAACCCUACAUACGCUUCGACCAGGUGGGUCCCGACUGUCAAGCACUUCCUUGCGUGCGAAGAUGUAGCUGGUGGGUCCCAGCAGUCAGGGGGGCGAAUCGUUUUUUUUGCCAGGAGGCACUUCCUUGCGUGCGAAGCUGUAGCUGGUGGGUCCCAGUAGUCAGGGGAAACGUUUUUUUGUGAAAUACGGUGGCCUGUCCGGUGGGUCCCUGCUGUCAGGUGGAGGGAUCAUUAUUCUGCGCGUAAUAAGGAGGCACUUCCUUGCUGCGGCCGUGGACCCAGCUGUCUGCCUCUCCACGUAUAGUCCACGUCCAAUGGAAGCCGUUCCUUGACCAUGUUGACCAUGCUGCGCCGAUAGCACCAGGGCGGUGGACGACGGUGAGGCCUAGGAAGGGGACGACGCGGAGCCGGGGAAGAUGCGGCAGUGGAAGCCCACACGGAGAGGAGUACGAGGGUUCACUGGUUCAUGGCUGCGGUGUGAGGCUGCCAUCACCGCAGAAUAAUAGGGGGUGUGGGUGAGUAGAGGGAUGGCCUGGCCAGCGGUGGGAGUACUAGGGGGCGGUGAGGACUCCACGGCAUCACAGCCGGCCAUGGGAUGCAGGAGCACGUGGCACGACCGGCGCUGGUUUGGGCGGCUGGAGCAAGAAGACCAGAGGUUGAAGAAGCACUACGGCCGUUGGAUGGACAUCGUACGGUCACUGGAGCUAGAAUCGUUCAUAUUGACUAAGUUGACAAAGCCCUCCAUCCCCGUCAACUUAGUAGGCCCACAAGUUAGCCUCCCACCAAGGUGGGUCCCAGCUAGCAGGGGGUAUUCAUUUUUUCUGCGUAAUAAGGAGGCACUUCGGUGGGUCCGAGCUGACAGCGGGGGGAAUGUUUUUUCGCGAAAUACGGUGACCCGUCCGGUGGGUCCCAGCAGUCAGGGGGAAACGUUUUUUUUUUGCAAAAUACGGUGGCCCGUCCGAUGGGUCCUUGCUGUUAGGUGGAGGAAUCAUUAUUUUCCGCGUAAUAAGGAGGCACUUCCUUGCUGUGGCUGUGGACCCAGCUGUCAGCCUCUCCACGUACAGUACACUUCCGAUGGAAGUCGUUCCUUGACCAUGUUGACCACGCCAUGUUCCUUUGCAUGCAUGCAUUCAUGGGCGUGGUGCGUCCUCACUGUCAGCAUCUCACGUACAGUCAUCUUCUGAUGACUCUCGGUUGUUGACCAUGUUGACCACACCGUGCCGAGCGCACCAAAGGCCAAUGGACGACGGCGAGGCCCCAGACUGGAACGACCCGGAGAUGGGGAAGACGGGGUAGUGGAGUCGCGGAUGGAGAGGAGUGGGAAACUUGACUAUUUCGGGUGCGCGACAGCACAGCCGUGAUGCCGCCCAUGGGAGACAGGAGCAAGAACAGAGGUUGAAGAAGGAGCACCGCUGUUGGAUUAACAUCCAAUGGUCUAAAAGCUAGAAUCAUUUUUUGAUUAAGUAGACAAAUCCCUGCGUACAUGUCCGCUUAGUAGGCCCACAAGUCAGCCACCAAAUCUGACGGGUCCAAACUGUCAACGGGAGGAAUAAUUUUUUUCGCAUAAGAAGGAGGCACUUCCUUCCGUGCGAGGAUACAGCCGGUGGGUCCCAGCUAUCGCGUGGAGGAAACAUUUUUUCAGCUUAAUAAGGAGGAACUUUCCUUGUGUGCGACCAUGGACCUCGUGGGUUCCAGCCGUCAGGCUCUCCAAGUACAGUCCUCUUCCGAUGACUCUCGUUUGUUCACCACACCGCACCGAGCGCAGCGAGGCGGUGGACGACGGCGAGGCCCCGGACGGGAACGACUCGGAGAUGGGAAAACACGCUAGUGGAGUCGCAGAUUGAGUGGAGGAGAAGGGUUAUAACUGGUUCUGGUGCGGCGUGGGGAUGCAGUCUCGGUGGAGAAUAACAGGAGGUAUGGAGGGGUGGAGGGAUAGCCUGGCCGACGGUGGGGUAGCGCUUCGCAGCGAUGCAUGCUAAGCAGAGCCGCUAGCCGUAAGAGGCCGGACCAGGCGGUCUCGGUGACGCUGGAGGAAGAAUACGAGAGAUUGAAGGUGCAUGCCGACCAAGUUGACAAUGCCCUGCGUAGGCUUCGACCUAUUGGCCCACAUGUCAGCCUGCAAAAAUUUGGCAUAUAUUUAACCCAUGUUUUCUAGAAUGUACAGUCCAUUUGGUGGGCUGGGUGAACAAAUAAUUUCGCAUCAAUGUGGCCCAUUUAUAUUAUCUAAGAAAUCCCAGCCCAUUUGCACUUCCUUCAAAUACACGAAUUAGCUGGGCUCGUUAUAAUGUUAUGUUAGAAGGAGCAAUUAAUAUCAAAAAUAAACCGGAGAGGCACAUUUUUUAUAUACAUAAUUAACAAAUUAGCGAGUUAUUGCUCAAAAUAAAAAUGAGCGCAUUAUUAUUACAUUGGUCCUUAAAACCUUCGCAAGCUUUUGUUCGCAAUCACUAGGAUUUUCCUUGCCUGUGAGUCAAAAACAACCAGGAUUUUCUUUGCCAACUUCUGUUAAACAUUUACUUUUAUAAGUUAAUAACACGUGGGAUGUUUUUAUAAUGUAUAUAUAAGUCUCUAUAAAAUAUACGAUAAUAGUAAUAAUAUAAAUAUAUAUAAUGUGGUUAAAAAAAUACAUUGGGCUGCCGAUCUUUAAGAAAAAGCCCAUAGGCCGGUAUGGACCUCAAAAAAUAAGUUGAAACCACUGUCACCGUAUGUCGUGGGCUACGCAUGUUAAAAUACAAAACUAGGCCUAGCUGAUACUUGUUCGCCCUCCGGAAAAAAAUGAUACUAGAUCCCCGAGCGAACUGGAUUAUAGAGGGGGCCGGCGGCACGGCUGAAGAAGCACAUCGGGAGCAAUUUUUUUCUUCAGUGGAUGGUUCUCAAUGGUGUUUUUUUACUUUCCUCUGCACCAUACAACUUGUAUUUUUAGCCUCCCAGUCUGUGCUGGACCAGCAGCCCAUUUGCUGGGCGGGCCAGCCUACAGAAAUCAGCACUCGAUUUUUCAUCAAGCUCCAAAAACAAUGCAGAAGUAUGUUUGUUUUGAGGCCGAAAACAUUACGGCAUGGGUUGAGAGGGGGAGGGGGCAAGACAGAGAAAAAUAUUAAAAAGAGUUGACGCGUUGUUGCUACCCUAACAAAGCAGAUGCAAUUAUUCUCGGGAAGAAGGUGUGCCAUUGACACCCACACGUCACAUACCCCACAGUAGGCAUACUAACAAGUUCACACCCAAGCACAACAGAGAAAGUAAACAUUCGUAUCAAACGCAGGUUCACAGGACACGUUCAUAUUCAUAGCCAACAUUCACUAUCAACAACUCAAAAGAUUCAUAUAUACACAAGUUCAGCAUGUCUAUGGAUCCAACUGAUUGAUAGAUGACCCAACAAUAUUCAUAGAUAAUUCACAAAGAGAUUUAGAUAUACACAUGUUUAGUAUGUCUAUGCAUCCAAAUGAUUGAGAUCACAGCCAAUAUGAUCCAUGGACGAACUUUAAUUACCUAGGGUACAUGCUGGUAAAUGGUGUUCAGUCAGAGGUACUUCUUGCUAAAAUUGAUGCUUGUACGAGUAAACAUUCGAGUACAUAAGAGGCAGUACAGACAAUCUGGACUUUGCUUGUAGGUUUAUCCUCAAAUAGUUUCCUCGUGCUGAGGGAGGUUUGAGCAACUUGGCCACUACUUUCAUCCAACUAGUUUACUAGGUCAUCUUGGUCCUGUAGCUCGCCAAAAUUCUACAUUGCAGACGAGAAAGGAGGCGAUUGAGAAAAUGAACCACCCAAAUUUUUUUUGCACUUCAACUGAAAUGGAGCAUCCCUGGCGUGCAGACUGAUUAAGUGCCAGAUGAAUAUACGCGUCAACCAACUUGUCUGGAAUCUUUAGACUCCAUGCCAUACAGUUCGCUACCAUAUCUGCCGGUAACCAAAAGGCACAAGUUGGGACCAAAGACUAGACUGUGUUUUUCUGGGCUAUGCGCCAAGCAAUAUUUUUAGCGUUCACUCUCCUAAUACUUGGAGUUUGACAACUGGUUGACGCCAGUUGAUACUCGAAUGAAUAUAGGCACGUCUUGUCAACAUCGAUGCUUGUCUGAGUGAACUUUGGAGUACAUAGCAGCAGCAUAAGUAUCCGUCCAUCUGAUCUUUUUGUGCAGUUUGACUGAAAUCACCCAAUGCAAUGAUUAGCCUGCGAGUUCAGGCUCCAAGUUACUCCUUUAUAAAAUCGGCAAACAGUAGCACAAUACCAAAUUAUCAAUACAUGACAAGCACAAUAAUCAGGAUAAAGACCAGUACCAACCUAUGUGAGGUAGCAUAUCAAUUAAUUUUUCCUUUGACUGGAAGCCGAGAUAAGCGAAGCGACUGAUGGCAAAGGAAGAAAGCAGGCCCAGAUUAGCGACUGACAGGAAAGGACGGAAGUUGUCGAGGCAAUGAAGCACCCAAAGUUUUUGUGUAGUUCCACCAAAAUCAAGCAUUUCUAUUGGCACAUAUAUUGAGAGAGAUUACUGUAAUAGUGGGACUAGUUGAUGAAACAUACACUAACAAAUAGAAGCACCCUCAUUAUCUUAAUGGAUAAAGUUAGCAACAUAGUAGUCUUGCUUAAAGAGAGGUAUUAGUUUAUUUAAUCAGUGCCAAUUAUCUCAACAAUCAAAGCAUUGCCAUGUAUCAUAGGUUUCAAAACUUUAACGUGCAAACAUAAAGGAGUUUCUCAUGACAGUAGCACAAUACAAAUAGAGAUGAUAGCAAACUAAUAUGGAUGAAGGCCUUAGGCUCGUACCAACCUAAGGAAAAAAGCUUAUUCAUGUAGUCCCAUAAGAGAGGAUAAAGCACUCACUGGAAUCACUCAAUAGUAUUUUUUUUGUGCACUUCAAAUGUAUGGUUGAAAUCACUCUUGUUUACCAAUGCUGAGAUUAUAUCGAAAUAUUAUCAAGAAAUUCCAGCAUAAUUAAAGCACAGGUUGGGAUAAAGUUCAUUGUAUUGUCUUGUGUAGUUCCACUAAAAUGUAUGAUUGGCACAACAUGAUCCCUGUUUGCACAAGUAGGAACAAGGUGAAACCUUCAUUAGCUUAGUGAGAAAGGAUAGAAAGACAUUAGCAUAUUACACUAACAGAAGCAUCAAAUUCAUGAUGGACAAUAUGCAAAACAUUGCCUCAUUGAACCAAUGGCAAUAAAUUGACAUGCAAAACAAUAGCACUAUUAUGUCAUGACACUAAUAAUAUUCCCUCCCUGCUCCACCACAUGAUUCACCUCCAUAGACAAACAUACACAUGUACAUGAUUCAGCAUAGGGUGCUACUAAAGAUUUGUUUAACUCCGACAGGAAAAUUAGGCAGCAAUCAAUUAGUGGUACUUAAGUACUCCUAAUUAACUGAGACAACAAAAGUGGAAGGGCUCCCUGGAGGAUCGUAUCACAUGUAAGGUAGUCGUUGCCAGAGCCCUUGAAUGGCCUCGACUGAGGCCUCUGGCUUCAGCAAGAUCGCCUUGGCACUGUUUAUUCUUCUUCUUCCUCCUCUUCAUGCUUUGUUUCUCAUUCUCCUCACCAGUUGGUGAAAACAAGUACAUGAUUGGCCUUCUAUUUCAGAAUUGGUUUUGUCAGUGAGGGAGUACAAGUGUACUAGUAAAAAAUAGCAUUACUUUCUCAUGGCAGUCACAAAAUAGAGAUGAACACAUGCAUUAAAUAUCAUUCUUACCUAAAGGAAGGUUAUGGUGCCAAUAUGGAUGAUGAGGAUUGGAACACAGAUCUCCCUUUGUGCAGUUCCACCAAAAUAAACCAACUGUUCCAUUCUGACAUUCCAGUUAAACAUCACAAAAGACACUCUUUUAAGAGGACCUUUUAAGAAGAGUUUUGUGCAAUGCACCAAAAGGUCACAACAGCAACCAGGUGAAAUGGAUAUCCCUAUUUACACAAAAAGCUACAGAGGAAACAGUCAGAGUCUCAAACAAUUACAGACAAAAACAUUUGGCUAAACUUGUCAUGCCUUAUAAUAGUGGCAUGGCUUCAUUUUUACCAGGGGCAUUAGAUUAAGAACAACUAAAUAUUUUGUAUAAGGGCAUGGGAUAGUGGGUGCACCAGCAGUCUAGCACCACGUACCUAAAUAGGGGCAUAAAGUGGUGAUCCAUAGUUUGGUGCCCCGAGAAACAAACAUCCAAGAAACAUAUCUGGGUUGGUCCCAUUUUCUUCACUCUAGCCACCUACUCCAAUGUGUGGAUAGCAAAUCUAGUCCUGGUCAUACCACUGUGUUCAGCGUUACCCCUAUAUUUCCCUUUUUGACCAAGAGACCGGUUGGAUGACCAGUCUAUACUACUUUCACCCCCUUUCCUUCCUGUUUGUACCAAGUCCGAUGUACUAUGUUUGGUUCUAGGCCUAGUAUUGCCAUAUUUGCCACACAUUUUUGCCAACCUUGCCUAAGUUUAGGGGCUGUGUGGUUCUGGGCCUAGUAUUGCCAUAUUUUGCCACACAUUUUUCCCAACCUUGCCUAAGUUUAGGGGCUGUUUGGUUUUAGGCCUAGUAUUGCCAUAUUUUGCCACACAUUUUUGCCAACCUUGCCUAAGUUUAGUUCAUCAAAAUGAAAGCCACAAGUUGGCAAGCCUAAGGGAAUCUUGCCACACUUUUUGUGUGUAUGCCAUGUGGGUCUCAAGUGUGGCUUGCCUAAGGUGUGGCUUGAACCAAACGCUCACCUAAGUUAGUCAAACUUGCCUAUCCUUAGGUGUGGCAAUAUUUGGCAAAGUUAGUCACAAACCAAACAGCCCCUUCUUGUUUGAACCAAAUACAAGAUUCGACUCCAUGAAGUAGCUUUACCUCUAACAAUAGGAAAAUAGGUGACGUUGGACCAUCCGAUCGAGUGGGGCUGAGAGGUAGAAAAUGAUGCACAUGCAGCGACGUAGCGAGCUGGGGAAGCAGAGCUAAGGCGGUUUCGAAGGAAGAUAUACCUGAAGGUCGUCGGGAUGUGGAUAGGUGGGCGGUGGGAGGCCGGAUCCGCCCACACUAGGGCAAUGACGAAGGGAUCGGAGGACCUCCCGCGCCGGCGCCCGGCCAGAGAUAACUGUGCGGCCAGCAGUGGGUCUCCUCCCUCGCUGUCGAUGAUGGCCUAAACGCUGACCCUCCUCCCCUUCACCGGCGGAGGGGGACACGCCCGGAUCUGUAACCAGCGGUGAGGAUAGAAAGACAGUGUUUUUUGAAGGGAGAAAGACAGUGUUACCACCCCUAUCUUGUUUAGAUCUGGAGAGGAUGAGAGUGUGUGAAUAGAGAAACCCUAGCAAGCAAGAGCGGAGGCUCCGGCCUAUAUAUACGUAGUGGAGUAGUUUUCCUUUUUCACUCGAUCAAAACAAUCGUAUAAAAUUGUGUACUACGUGCCAGGUCGCCCUUUUUUUAGUUGUUGAUUGUUUUUUGAGAUAGCUACCCGCUUGUUCAAGUGGUGUUACGGUGUGCCAGGUCGCACUUUGUAUCGUUCAAGUCUGGUACAAGUCUCUCCAUUAAAUGAACAACCAGCCCCUCGUAAAAAUUGUGAACAAGCCCAUGGCUAAAAUUAUCGGAAACGUGGGUUGCCCCAACAUGCAUUAUUACUUAUAUUUUCUACUCCCUCCAUUCCUAUAUAUAAGUCUUUUUUAUUAGCCACACCUAAGACAAGAAUUUGUUUUAUUAGCAGUGAACCCCACAUGUCAUAGACACAAAAAGUGUGGCAAGAUUCCCUUAGGCAAGACAAAGUGUGUCUAACAAUUUGAGCAACUCAAGUUAGGCAAGUGUGGCAAGUGUGGGAAAAAUAAUGUGGCAACAUAAGACAAACAUAGUCACAAUCCAAACAGCCCGGUAAUUUUUUGUGACAUGCAUGAAAAUUUGGUUAGUUAGAUUUAUAGUCAAAAUUUGGCAAGGAGCAUCAAAUCAACACAUGCAAGUAUCAAAAGGGAAGUCACGUCAUGCAUGGAUGCAUUGUACUCCCUCUGUUUCCAAAUAUAAGUUUUUAGAGAUUGCAACAAGUGACUACAUACGAAGCAAAAUAUGUCUACAUACAUCCAUAUGUAGUAGUCCAUUUGAAAUGUGUAAAAAGACUAUAUCGAGUGUAGUGCUUUGAUGUGUCGCGUCAACUCGUACAAGACCGAGAUGUUUGAUUACUAGAACGCCCUCUCCCUCGCGGACUGAGCUCCGGUGCCUUAACUGCACCUACCUUUGGCUGCAUGAUAGGUGGGCCAACCACCUGUUGGGCCCACCUGUCAUAGACGCAAAUGUAGGAGCUGUAAGUCAAUGAAGCUGCGUCCCUCCCUCACGCAUGAGCGUGGUGGCUGGCAGGACUAGUAGGAGCUUUCGCUACACGCUUCUUGAUGGCGGCGAACUUGCGGAUGGAGUUGACCAUCAUGUCGUCCAUGCGAGAGGCGAAGCCGGCGUCGGCGAGGGCUACAACGCCGGCGGUCCCCAGCACCGUGUGGAAACGCUGCGCGGUGCGGGGCCGCAGGCCGGCGCCUUGGAUGAUUUGGCACAGCCGACUGCCGCUCGCGACCAUUGCCUCAAUAGGUGCUUUUGGCUUCUGGUCACUUGGUCUUGGAUUGGAGUGAGCAGUGUUGCGCAGAGACUAAGGAGUAGAUGGAUUGGAGUGGUGGGGCGUCUUUAUAUGAGAAUCUAAACUCUGUUGCAUUCACAUCGUGCUGGCUCUAUUCUGCUUCUCGAAUUAAUUCCCUCUGCAUGUAGAGUAAUUUGAGGAUGUAUCAUUGACCGUUUAAUGUCUCGGGAACCGCUACCCUCUCCCUCCUUGGCAUUGAAGCACCUAUGGAGGAGACUUCCGCUGGCGUCUAUCGCGUGUCAGGAGACGUUCCCAUCGACGAUGAGGUGCCUAUGGUGACUUUGUAAAUUUUAAGAUGAUAGUACUAGUAUACUCAAUAUUGUGCACCGCGACCAAGGCCGAGAGGAAAACGAGAGAACUACGUAUUUAUUUACAGUGUAGAUUCACUCAUUUUGCUCCAUAUGUACUCUGUCUCGGUGUAGUCUAGUCACUUGUUGAAAUCUCUAGAAAGGCAAAUUCUCCUUUCUGGUUUACAGGGCUAUACUAGCAAGUACUCCCUCCGUCCGAAAAUACUUGUCAUAAAAAUGGAUAAAAAAGAUGUAUCUAGAACUAAUAUACAUUUAGAUACAUCCCUUUUUAUUCAUUUUGAUGAAAAGUAUUUCCGGAUGGAGGGAGUACUACAAUAGUGGGCUCACAUAGCAAUUUUGUCUCAUGCAAGAGCCUGGCUAUAUGCGUGCUCCAAGGUUCGCAGUUGCCACGUUCGGGUUGCACUUGGCUCUUCGCCUCUUCGAGAAUACAAACAAUGAUGUUACUAAUGCUGCUUCUACAGUAUCGAAUCCACUACUGCAUGUCUGUCCACCGCGAGCGGGAGGGAUAGCUUGUUGUAGUACUAUAAGGAAAAGACUGUCCUUGUCUGCGAGCCACGGCGCACAUGGGCGAGGGAGAAGGCGUGUAGUAGUAAAAUCAAGCUUCUCCUCGUUGUAUGAGUUGACGCUGAAAGACCCGCAGUGUAAAAUACUCCAUUUAGUGCAACCUCUAACAUUUACCCCACCACAAAUUAAAAUAUACAUUCUGUCUUGACCAGAUGAGCGUGCAAACUAGAAUCACCAGGAUGACAGGUAGGGCCAGAAGAUUAUUUUAAUCAAAAAAAAUAUAGCAUGGAGUCGACACCAAUGAUUUUAAGCUUACAGGCACAGUACACGCGAUCCUGGACUACUCCACACAUGAAACUGCCACACGAGCGUCCUAGCUGCGCUUGGCUCUUCGCCUCUUUGGGAGUACUACUGCAGUGGAGAAGUACUACAGUAUGCUUCUGGCCAUCUAACACCGAUUGAACUGUUGCAUGUCCACCGCGUACGGGAGGGAGAGCGUGUAGCAAACGAAAAAGCUUCUCCUAGUCCUGCCAGCCACCACGCUCAUGGGCGAGGGAGGGACGCAGCUUCAUUGACUUACUGCUCCUGCCUUUGCGUGCAUGAUAGGUGGGCCCAACAGGUCGGUGGCCCACCUGUCAUGCAGCCAAAGGCAGGUGCGGUUAAAGCGAGAGGGCAUUAUAGUAAUCAAACUUCUCGGUCUUGUACGAGUUGAUGCGACACAUCAAAGCACUGCACUCGAUAUAUUUCAAUAAUUUGUCUUUACUGAUGCAUUAAUUACAACGCAUGCAUGACGUGACUCUCCUUUUGAUACUUGCAUGUGUUGAUUUAAUGCACCUUCAAGUAGUAUGAAUAUGUGAUGGUAAAGCUUUGUAAUGCCCCAGCUCUAAUAAACUAAGAGAUGGUUGUGCACGAGGAGGGCGAGAUCAUGCAGACGGAACAUGACCCGACGAUGGAGCUCUCUAUGGUCUCGAUGGACCUCACCUUGCUCCACUACCCCUUGUGCCUCCGCACCUUCAAGCCUCCAGUGUAUGAGGUUUGAAUACACCUCGUCCGUUCGGCUGAUCGAGCAAGGUGCAGGUUGUUUGAUUGAGGUGUUGUUCGAUUGAUUUGUACAGUGCAAGGGAGGGCACCUGGCUUGCACGGACUGCCGCGUUGAGCGCCUCGAGAACCAACGACAGUGCCAGAAGUGCUAGCGCGGCGGUGGCUUCAACAUGCGGAACACGGCGGUGGACGUCGGCCUCUCCUUGGUGAGGGUGGAGUGCCCGCACGAAGGCUGUGGGCUCUACGUCACUUACCAUAAGCUCGCCGAUCACCAGAGCGUGUGUCUGCUCGCGCCCUGCAAAUGCCCAAUGCCUGUCUGCGGCUACGAAGGCCCGCCGCCGAUGCUCUCCCACCACAUCAGCACCAUGCAUCCCAUGCCCUGCACAGGAUCUAGUACGGCAAGGCGCUCCAGCUGCAAGUGACACUAUCAGAGCCACGUCUCUUGCUGUUCGUGGAGGAGGACGGUCGCGUGUUUUUCUUGGUCAGCUGCGUGCUCGACAUCGGUGAGCCUAUCACCGUGUCGGUCGUCUGCAUCAGAGCGGGGGCGUCCCCACUGCCGCACUACGUGGCCAAGCUGUGGGCGAACGGCCCGCCGGGGAAGCCUAAAGGCAGGACCGACACCGUCAAGUUGGAAAUGGAGGUGACAACCAGCAGCGAUCCCGGCGACGUCGCCUUGCAGGAGCUGACCAACUUCACAGUUCCGCCCAAGCUGCUGGCCGGGGCUAAGCUGGUGUCCCUCGACAUUAAGAUUGACAAGCUCGCGUCCUAAAUGAUUCUAAAGUGCCUUUUGUUUAUCUUAGUAAUAUGCUAAUAUAGGGGUUAGCUCGGUCUACUUUAGCUUAAGAGAUGGUGGGUUUUGGUGGCGAUGCAACAAUUACCUCGACAUCAGAUCAGCAGUGAAAGUAAUUUCAAACAGUCGAAUGGAUAUUGUGUGUCUGUUAGAUAUAAAGAUCCUUUGGGUAAGAAGUAACAGCUUAUAUGCUUUUUUCGAAAUGGAACAGCGAUACUAGUAUAAUUUUUGUUGACAUGCACUAAUAUUUUCGAAACGGACGUCGGGCUAUAGCUAGAAGGACGGUUGGGAUGCGGAAUCGGCCCAUACCGCAAUGACCCCCAAUUGGGACGCACCGACUAUGGAUUUUCUCCCUCGGUGAUGUCAACCGCAUCUACGCUGAACAUUGUUCCCUUCCCCCAACUGUGGGAUCAGGCCUGAUAUGUGACCAGCGGUGUGGCCACCGUCGUUCUAUGCUUGUGAAGAGACCAACCCAUGCAGGCUUGUAGCUUAGGCUCCUGCUAGUGUAUAUAUAGAGGUUUUCUUUUUCUCUCCAUAUCAACCAUUUUAUAUUGCGUACGUGUCAUCGAAGAGUGAAAUGGUGGUUGCUUCUUUCGACUAACUUACUGUGUGAUUUGACUGCUCCUUUAGUGACCCCUACACGUAAUCCCCCUACGUGUAUGCAACAGUCACAUGUACACAUGGACGCAAAAACACAUGUGAGGGAGUCCUUGAUUAGGGGGUCUCCGAACAGCCGGACUAUAUCCUUUGGCCGAACUGUUGGGCUAUGAAGAUACAAGAUUGGAGACUUCGUCUCGUGUCCGGAGGGGACUCUACUUGGCGUGGAAGGCAAGCUUGGCAAUACGGAUAUGUAUAUCUCCUCAUUUGUAACCGACCUUGUGUAACCCUAGCCCCCUCCGGUGUCUAUAUAAACCGGAGGGUUUUAGUCCAUAGGACAACAUACAAUCAUACCAUAGGUUAGCUUCUAGGAUUUAGCCUCUCCGAUCUCAUGGUAGAUCAACUCUUGUACUACUCAUAUUAUCAAGAAUAAUCAAGCAGGAUGUAGGGUUUUACCUCCAUCAAGAGGGCCCGAACCUGCAUAAAACAUCGUGUCCCCUGCCUCCUGUUACCAUCCGCCUUAGAUGCACAGUUCGGGACCCCCUACCCGAGAUCCGCCGGUUUUGACACCAACAACAUGCGACCCCCUAAUGCAUGCAUGUACGAGCACACGACGGAACACACACGGUCACGCUGAAGUGCUCAACCUACACGUGAAUGCACACACAUACUCAGCCAGGGUGAGCUAGUGACUGUAUAAACACAGGAAAAUGUUUAUAUUGAGCGCAAUGAGCGUAUUAUGAAGUCCACUGGCCAUAUUUUUACAAAUAUACAGUGACAGAUAGUGUAUUCAUCUUGUUUGAAAUUAAGCCAUAUUAACCGGAGAGGAGGCAGUAUGGACUAGCAUUACUUUGCUGUGUCCCGUCAACUUGACGAACAAGGAGAAGCUUGCACGCGGUGGCUCAUAGGACAAGGAGAAACUUUUGACUAAUGCAAGCUCUCCUUCGCUCAGGCGGUGGACGUGCAACAGUUAAUUUGGUGUCAGAUUGCCAGAAGCAUACACUGUACUAGUACUAUUAUUGUUGCACUUCCCGAAGAGGCGAACAGCCAAGCGCAAAGUUUACUAGUACUAGUACUACUACUAUAGUCUAUAGAGGUAUGUACUAUACUAGUACUAGGAACCGGAUGGAGGAGUGUCUGCACUCUUAUUAUAUAUUUAAAAUGUGAUAAAGCAAUCUUCAACACAUUUGGUUCUCUUUGAGGGUUCUCGCAUGUGAUAAUGGAAGUUGAUUGCAUGGAACACUCGGUAAUAUUUACUCUUUUCUGGUUAUUCAGCAUGUAGAUAGGUCAGCAAACCUUGCGGUGCAUCUUUGUGCGAACCGUGCUUGCUACACUUUGAAUGUGGCCGAGAGCUGGCUUGAUGAAACACCUCGCUUCCUACUUCUUUUUUUGCGGGGUACCUCGCUUCCUAGUGACCAGUCUCUUGGCUGAUCGUCCUAAGAAUGCUUAUAUAUGAAUAAAGCUCUCUCAUUUACCCGCAAAAAAGAUUAAGCCAUAUUAACUGGAAAGGAGGGAGUAUGGACUAGCACUACUUGUUGGUGUGUCCUGUCAACUCGCAAAACGAGGAGAAGCUUGCAGGACAAGGUGAAGCUCGCUUACGCCUUUUGACUAAUGCAACAUACCCUCACCUAGGCGGUGGACAUGCAUCAGUUCAUUCGGUGUCAGAUUGCCAGAGGCAUACACUGUACUAGUACCGAACAUGCGGAGUACCAUCAUUGUUCGACUUCACGAAGAGGCGAAGAGCCAAGCGCAAGGUUUAGUAGUACGAGUAGUACUACUACUAGAACCGCAUGGUGGAGUCUCUGUACUCUUAUUUUUUUAAUCUUUGAUAAAGUACACAUUUAUUCCGGAGAAGGGUGGAAAACGGCAGCCCAACAUGUAAUGAUGAUAUCGAUCAACCAUGCUCGAAUAUAUCUUGGCCUCCGUGCGAGCCCGUCUGUGUGUUCUCGCUCCUCGUCUCUCUCAAGGAACGGCGGGUUGGCCAUUUUGCCGUCAAUUGAGAUCAGUUUGCUCACACUCCGGUCCCACAUGUCAGCGAUAUGCCAAGAGGAGGUGCAUUGACCGACUGGCCAUACGCGUACUUGGUUUUGCACCUUCAUACUACUCUUCCCUCCGUCACAGUUUACAGGGUGCGCUUUAUUAUGAUGCAUUUCUCUCAAUGCAUUUCCACCACUAGAGAGACUUUAGACGCAUUUGGUUUAAUGCUCAAUUAAUUAGAGCGUGGUAACUGCAAUUUUCUCUCGAUGUAGUACUACGGAGUGGAGUAUGUGUAUGCAUGUGUGUACCCGGGGUGGAAGCACUGCAUGCAUGUGUGUACGCAUUAUUUACUAUAGUAAUAGAUGUCGUGCUAUAACUACCAAUGCUAUUUUUCAGGUCGAUCGCUAGUCGCAUUGGUCCCAGAGAUUUUCUCUUUUUCUAAAGCGCGCUCUAUAAACAGUGACUGAUGGAGUAGUAUGAGCGGAUUCAAAGAAGAGUGUAUUGAUGGUUGCUUCUUCCGAGCAACUUACAGUGGGAAAGGUGGAGCUUAUGGUUUAACUAGUCAUUACUCACUAUUAAUGCAGCGCAACGACCGGUCUGAGUGUCCCAUGCGGUUGUACACUACCCCCUCGGUUCUUAAAUAUACUCCGGAGUAUUUGUUUUUCUAGAGAUUUCAACAAGUGACUACUCAAAUAUUUGUCUUUUUAGGUAUUGAAAUGGACUACUACACACGGAUGUAUAUAGACAUAUUUUAGGGUGUAGAUUCACUCAUUUUGCUCCGCAUGUAAUCACUUGUUGAAAUCUCUAGAAAGACAAAUAUUUAGCAAUGGAGGGAGUACACGUAUGAAGCAAAAUGAGUGAAUAUACACUCUAAAAUAUGCCCAUUUGAAAUUUGUAAAAAGACAAAUAUUGUUGAUGACAGUGGCGAUGACAAAAAGGAAGCAUAUUCCUUGUCCUAAGGGAAGAUAACAACACGGUUGUGUUUGUCUAAAAUGGUGUGAGGACGAGAUUGCAAUAUGGAAAGUACGUCGGACGAGCUAUGUUUUGUGUAAAGAACUAUGGAAGAUCCACAUGCAGCGACGUGGGAAGACGGGCAAUGGAGCAAGGCCGGAGGGGAUACCUGGAGGUCGUCGGGAUGUAACUAGGUGAGCGGCGGCGGGCGGAAUCUGCCCAUACUGCGGCAGCAAGCAGGUGGUGUAGGCCCUACCACGACGCAGCUUGGUCAGAGAGAAUGGUGUGUACCACAGAUCGGGACAUGCUGCCUCGGCACCGUCGAACGGAGAAACGAUGCACGUCCUCCCUUUCUGCCGGCGGACGGGAUGCGGCUAGAUCAGUGUCCAGCGGUAAGAGAAAGAGGCCACCGCAGCCAUGUGUGAGAUACUCUGAAGAGAGACAAACCAGGCAGGGAGGCUCCAUUGUAUAUAGUGGAGUGGACUACCUUUUUCUCCAUAAAAAUCAUUUUAUAUUCUGCGGACGUGCCAUUGAGCGGUAUAACUUUAUUUAAAAAUAACGCGCCAACGCAUCAAAUCGAACUUUGUUUCGUGCACACGUGGUACACGACCUCCACAGGUAAACAACCGCUAUAGGCGUUCAAAUUAGCACGUGGGCUGCCAUUUCGUACAGAAAUGAGCUCCACCGUGUACCAGCAUGGGUGUGGCUGGGCACGAAGCAUGAGUACAUGGACGGUCACCUAUUCUCUUCUUGUAUACGUACACCACCUACGUGGGGUUGCGUGAGAGAUACAAACGUAGAGNNNNNNNNNNNNNNNNNNNNNNNNNNNNNNNNNNNNNNNNNNNNNNNNNNNNNNNNNNNNNNNNNNNNNNNNNNNNNNNNNNNNNNNNNNNNNNNNNNNNNNNNNNNNNNNNNNNNNNNNNNNNNNNNNNNNNNNNNNNNNNNNNNNNNNNNNNNNNNNNNNNNNNNNNNNNNNNNNNNNNNNNNNNNNNNNNNNNNNNNNNNNNNNNNNNNNNNNNNNNNNNNNNNNNNNNNNNNNNNNNNNNNNNNNNNNNNNNNNNNNNNNNNNNNNNNNNNNNNNNNNNNNNNNNNNNNNNNNNNNNNNNNNNNNNNNNNNNNNNNNNNNNNNNNNNNNNNNNNNNNNNNNNNNNNNNNNNNNNNNNGGGGGGGUUAAUCAAAAAAUGUAACAUAUGCAAUGUGUGUGAAAUAGAGUCCUGGAUAUAUCAUAUAUAUAGAGGGGGCGAGCCACGAGAAGAGAGUGGAGGUAUCAUCGACUUGAGGUGUCGAUAGAAUCGAAGAAAGGGAUGAUGUGUGGGUGUGUGUGCACGCGCGGUCGAUAAAGAGUGCCAUCGAAUUUGUGUGUGCCCACGUCAAAGAUAUAGAGUGGAUGGCCUACUAGAACGAGAGAGGGGACAUGUGCAGUUUUUCUCUGUGGCAUGGAUACCUACCUACAGCGCUCGACUAUUGAUGUGUGGUGGUGGGGAAAGGGAGGCCUAAUUAACUAUAGAGGUACAAUGGCUGGUAUAUGUGUGGAGGAGGAGAGAGGCCUACCUCAUGUAUUAAGGGAGAUCGAUCUACCUCAUGUAUUAAGGGAUAUCGAUCGGCAUCCAUGCAAAUGCGUAGGAGAGGAAUAAGGUUUGGAGAGAGACAUAGCUAGAGUGUUGGAGGGGGUGGUAGUGGAGUUGCUUCUAACAAAUGGUGGGAUAGGCUUGCUAGACAACCGGAGGGCACGCCUGCAAUAUCAAUAAGAGAGGGGAUGGCUGCCUGUCUGUGCACGUGCAUGUGAGAGACGGGUCAGGAGGCAUGCACGAAUGAUGAGGGGGGACGAUAUGGCUAUGGUAAGCAGACAUAACUAAAUAUGAAGAUCAAUCGUCCUUUGUCAGAGAAAGGAGAGACAUAACUUGUGACGUACGUCGAUCGAUGGGGGGGAUAGUUAAAGUCGACCUAGGUAUAUGUUGGGAGAUCGAUAGGUAUAAAUGCAUGUGUGUGUUAGAAGCAAAUGAGGCACGGGGAGAAGGAUAGAGAGAGGGAUGCAUCUAGGAGGUGGUGCGAGAGUCAUACUAUAUCGAGGGGGAAGGAGUGUGCGAGUAUGAGAUCGAUGAAAAGAGUGGUGGGAGUGAGGCAUGGACGGUGAUAAGAGAAGAGGGGAAGCUUGUGUUUGUGCUAGGCACACCUGGCUAGAGAGGCAUAUCGAACAAUGUGUGCCGUAAAGAAGUUGUUGGGGGGGCUACACACACCGUGGGUGAACGACCUAAAGUGAAAAUAUGAAUUUGCGCGAUGGAGCUAGAGAAUGCUGAGGGAGGGUGAGAGGGAUGCGGGCAUGUGCAUGCACGAGAGAAAGUUAGCGCUAGCUAGCUACAAAAAUAAGAGGAUUGUGUGGAUGUAAAGACGAAUAGAGGUCAUACUUCAUUAUAAAAAGCAAAUUUGGAUAUUUGAAGAAUUUAUCAUAGUGUUUUAAACCGACGCAUCUGUGAAUAUAUAUAACGGUGAUACACAUGGUGUGGUUAUGAACAUGUUAUACUACAUAUAAUAUAUUUUAUCUCUACUCUUAUAAAAAACGGAGUUGUUCAUGAUGGUGUGCUUGCCAUCCUGCAAUAUAGGCCAUCCGAUUUAUAUCUGACGGAUAGGAAGGAAACUAUGGCAAUUUUGAUAAAAGAUACCCACACCCCUCUCCAUAUUUGCAAAUUAGGCCUCCCAUUGAUCAUGUUGAUGUUCUGUGGAAUGCAUGGGCAUCUUGCUAGUACUACGUAUAAUAUAUAGAACACUGAUCAUAAUUUGGGCUAAUGUGUGGCUUUUGCAGCUCAGGUCUAAAUACUUGUCAUAAUGUAGGGGGCGGGGCACUAUACUAUGUGUGAUAAACACGUUGUACAUGUAUGGAACAUGGUUUAGAUUAUGAAUAUAUAGUUAGUACAUCAAAUGUACUAUUAUUUGGAAUCAACAUCAAGUGUUUUCAAAAAAUAGAAUUCAAGUUCAUGUAGUACACAUAGUUCAUAUCUAUCUCUAUAGUAAUCAUGUGGUGUGUUAUUAAGGUAAUACACGAAUGAUGGUUGAAGUUGGCAACAAUCAUGCUUGUAGAUUCUUAUUGAAAUAGAGAAACAGAUUCAAAUUCAGUUCGAAUUGCAGCGGUAGUAUAGACAUUUGGAAUGCACUAAAAUGUUGGUAUGAGUAGGUUACAUGCAUUAUACAACAAGCGAAAAAAUUUAAUUGCACAUAACAUGGAUUCAUACUCCCUCCUUCCAUCUAUAUAGGGCGUAAUGCAUUUUUCAAGACCGCCUUUGACUAUUAACAAGAUUAAUAGUACAUGACAAGCACAAUGUGAAAAUUAUAUCAUUGAAAGAACCUUUCACAAAUGAAUUUAACGGUGUGCUUUCUGUAAGUUGCAUGCCAUAUAUUAUUGCUCUAAUAUUUUCUCAGAGUUAGCAUCGAAAACACAUUAGGCCCUAUAUAGAUGGAAGGAGGGAGUAGCUUUGAAUAUCAUUUUUAUAGUAAAACGGGGCAAGACUCUCUCUUUAUGUGGUGUGAAUAUUUUUAAUUUUUUUGUUUUCUUUUUGGUUGAGGGAAGUGCGAAUUGAUUUGGUACGUACAAGUACAAUAUUACACAUUAGGCUUGUCCCUAAAAUUCUUCCCGCACCUUGUUAUAUCCCGAAAAUUCAGAUAUCGUGCUCCCAAAACUGGCGCCUUCACAACCUGUGCCUUGCUAUCCCAAAAUUACAACGCGCGCAAAAACUUCCUCCAGCUGCCAAAUCCCGACACGCGAAAUCCCCCUUCUAACCCUGAGCCGAAAGGGCCGCUAGUUCAAAUCGGUGGGGGGGGGGUACUUUUGUAACACACCCUACAUUUUGGACAAGUGUGUCCCUAAGUCAUGGUUCACCCCCUCCCGUCGCCUCCUUUUUGCCAUUCGAAAUCCCACGCCGCCAUAACCUCUCUGCUCCAGCCGCGAAACCCCACCCUCCUCCGUCCGCCACCUCACCGCUGCCCAGCCGGAACCUCUUCCCCGACAUCGUCGUCCACCGCAACAGCUCGACGUCCCUUGUCCACCUCCUCGGAUGAGGAUCCGUUGUCCAUCUCAGCGUCCUGCCGGUUCAGCCGCCCCGUCCACCUCCAAGGAGCUGCUCCGAAGAUCGCCUCGUCUAUCGCGGCUGCUCCAUCCCCACAGCGUCGCCUUAACCUGCUUCACCGAAACCACAUCAUCCUCACCGACUCCUUGGAUAAAGCCAGUGUAACACCCUCGAUGCGACUAUAUCUCCCACGUGCCGAGGCACGACUUAGAGGCAUAAUCGCAUUGAAGGCAUAUGUCGCAAGUUAGGCAAUCUUCACAACAUCCCAUGUAAUAUAAAUAAUAAAGGGGAGAUAACAUAGUUGGCUUACACUCGCCACGUCAAUCAAAGUACAUAAAUAGCAAUACAUCAUUCAAACACUCAUGGCCCGACUACGGCGCCAAAAUAAAUGACAACCCAACAUGCGACACGGUCCCGAUCACCCCUAACUGGGCACCACUACUAAUCAUCAGGAAAAGAAACAUAGUAUUGCUGAGAGUCCUCGUCGAACUCCCACUUGAGCUCGAGCGCGUCACCUGGAGCGGAAUCAUCAGGCCCUGCAUCUGGUGUAAUAGUAAUCUGUGAGCCACAGGGACUCAGCAAUCUCGCACCCUCGCGAUCAAGACUAUUUAAGCUUAAAAGGUAAGGUAAGGUAAAUAUAUGUGGAGCUGCAGCAAGCGACUAGCAUAUAUGGUGGCUAUCUUGUUCGCAAAAGAGAGCGAGAAGAGAAGGCAAGGCGCGGUCGAGUAACUAGAGAGAAAUCCUGCGGCAAGCAUUACUCCAACACCGUGUCCACUUCCCGGACUCCGCCGAGAAGGGGCCAUCACGGUAACUCACACGUUUGAUUCAUUUUAAUUAAGUUAAGGUUCAAGUUAUCUACAACCGAACAUUAACAAACUCCCAUCUGCCCAUAACCGUGGGCACGGCUUUCGAAAGUUCAAAUCCCUGCAGGGGAGUCCCAACUUAGCCCAUAACAAGCUCUCAUGGUCAACGAAGGAAUAGACCUCCUCCCGAGAUGUUCCGAUCAGACUCGGUACCCCGGUUCUUCAAGACAAUUCGACAGGUUAAAACAAAUCCAGCAGCACCGCCCGAAUGUGCCGACAAAUCCCGAUAGGAGCUGCACAUAUCUCGUUCUCAGGGCACAAUCAAAUGAGACAUCCUACGAGUAAAACCAACCCUCAAGUUCCCCCGAGGUGGCCCCGCAGUCUACUCGGUCGGACCAACACUCAGAGGAGCACUGGCCCGGGGGGGUCUAAAUAAGAUGACCCUCGGGCUUCGGAAACCGAAGGGAAAAGAGGCUAGGUGGCAAAUGGUAAAACCAAGGUUGGACAUUGCUGGAAAAGCUUUAAUCAAGGCGAACUAUCAAGGGGUUCCCAUUAUAACCCAACCGCGUAAGGAACGCAAAAUCCGGGAACAUAACACCGACAUGACGGAAACUAGGGCGGCAAGAGUGGAACAAAACACUAGGCGAGAGGCCGAGCCUUCCACCCUUUACCAAGUAUAUAGAUGCAUUAAGAUAACAUGGCAAUAUAAUGAUAUCCCAACAAGUAAAUAAUGUUCCAACAACGAACGGUCUCCAAUCUUCACCUGCAACUAGCAACGCUAUAAGAGGGGCUGAGCAAAGCGGUAACAUAGCCAAUCAAUGGUUUGCUAGGACAUGGUGGGUUAGAGGUUUGACAUGGAAAUUUGGGAGGCUUGAAAGCAAGUGGUAGGCAUCAUAGCAUUGGCAUAGCAAAAGAGCGAGCAUCUAGCAAAGCAAAGAUAGUACUGAUUUCGAGGGUAUGAUCAUCUUGCCUGCAAAGUUGUCAGAGUUGCCUGGAUCCUCGAAAGCAAACUCAAUGGGCUCCUCGUUAGCGAACUCGUCUCCCGGCUCUACCCAAACAAGACAAACAAGCAAUAAGGACACAAUCAACCACGUGCAAGGAUCAAACAAGAUGAUGCAAACAUGGUAUGCUAUGCGGGAUGCAAUAUGUGAUGCAUAUGCAAGAUUUGACAAGGAAUGCAUGACCCUGGCCUCAACUUGGAAAACCAAGUGUGCCACUGGAAAUAUGAGAUGAAAUCGCUUGAAAACGAUAUAAAGAUCACCGGAUUCGGAGUUACGGUUUGGAAAUGGCAAGCGAUUCAAAUAUGACCAUGUUCUGCCAUUUACAGCAAGUAGCCAUCUAAAUGCAAUGAGAUGAACAUGCUACAGCACUCAAACAUGACAACAAAAUACAUGGCAGGGAUGCGUUCAAGAUGCUUAACAAAAGUCUAGCACUAAGCUACGGCCAAUUCAUCCAUUAACAGGUUCAAACAAGCAUGGCAAAAAUGAAUAUGGUAAACAGAUUUCAGACUUAGUGAAAUUAACACUUGUCUGGAAUCUCAGAUCAGAUAGCACUCUUUGGAGCAACAAAACUACAUACUACAGGACCUGAACAUGGCAAAGUAAAACAUGGCAUGGAGCUACUCAAAAAUCUUAACAAAAGUCCCUUAGUGACCUUGAGCCAAAAGGGAUCAGAAAACACAUUUGCAAGCAUGUGAACAUGGCAAAACAUAAUCAGUUCUCAGACUUAGUGAAAACUGGAGCAUGCUGAAAACAGAUAUCAAGUAGGCAUGUUUACGAGCUCGAUGCACUCACUACGGAGCAAGUCAUGAAAAGCUAAGCAAACAUCUAUCAAGAACACACAAAAUGCAAGCUAUACAUGGCAAGAACAAUAGAAUAGCAUGCACGGAUCAACUACAACAUCAUCGGCAAAAUUGCUAACAAGUAGACAAUCUGCCCGGAAUCACGAAGUAGCAAAAGUAGAGCUCGAUUGACUCAAGCUAGGGUGCUCCAUAAUUGCAAACAAAUACAUGGAUGGAUAGAGAACUACAAGAUUAAUAAAACAUCUUUACUGAUCAUCCUCAAAAGAGGCCCGGAUCACUAGGAAACAACAUGAACAUAUGGCAACAUGAGAUAAACAGGUCAAGGACUUAGUGGAAAUGCUAAGUACCUGAAAACAGAAUUACCAAGUGCCUCACUUUGCAAGCUUGUUCUAGUCACCACAUAUAUCAAAAAAAUACAUGGGUUGUACCUCUGGAAAGAUGGCAAAAUCCUUAACAAAACAUAUGUAGAGCACCAGGGCAUAUAAUGCACACUAUAAUCAUGGCAAAAAUGACAAAUAUCUAAAUGGAGCAGCAGAUCUGACAAUUAUCUCAACUAGCACUCUUCUAACAGCAUUUAGGGCAUCAAGAUGAACUCAAAUGAAAAUUAUUGAAUGGAAUGAAAUGAUGUACUCUCUAAGAAGAACAUUUUGAUAUGCUAUAUGCCCAAAACGGAGCUACGGAUGCAAAGUUACGACGCGAUGAACAUGGGCAUUUGAACUAGGGUUUCGAGAGAAAGUCAACCCGCGUUUUGGAUCUAGAUCCAGAUACGGGGUGCACGCGAAACGAGGUUCACCGGAGUUGACGAGGAGGCCGCUGGAGUUGACGAUGAGGAGGGGGGCUGGCUAGUGAGGGAGCUCGCCCGGGGCGGCGACUUGGCGGCGGCGGGCGGCGCGGGGCCUGGCCGGCGAGGUGCGGUCGGCGAGGAGGCGAGGAGCUAUCGCGGCGGAGCUGCUCCGACCGGCAAUGGCGCGGCGGCGGCGGCCUUCGGGCGUGAGGAGGCGGGCGAGCCGGGCGGCNNNNNNNNNNNNNNNNNNNNNNNNNNNNNNNNNNNNNNNNNNNNNNNNNNNNNNNNNNNNNNNNNNNNNNNNNNNNNNNNNNNNNNNNNNNNNNNNNNNNNNNNNNNNNNNNNNNNNNNNNNNNNNNNNNNNNNNNNNNNNNNNNNNNNNNNNNNNNNNNNNNNNNNNNNNNNNNNNNNNNNNNNNNNNNNNNNNNNNNNNNNNNNNNNNNNNNNNNNNNNNNNNNNNNNNNNNNNNNCGGCGGCGGUUGGAUCCCGCGGCGGGGCGCGCGAUGGGCCUCGAGGGCCUGGUUCAGGCCUCCCGUGCCGGCGGCGGGGAAGUGGGCGCGGGCGGCUGGUGAACAGGGUGGCGACACGUGGCGGCGGCGGGGCUGGGCGGACACGUCCGGCAUCGGCGGAUGCUGUCCGGCGCGUGGAGGGAGAGGAUCUGAGGUUAGGGAUGGAGAAGGUUUAGGAGGGGUUCUUUAUAUAGACAUAGAGGGAGCUAGGAGAGUCCAAAUGAGGUGCGGUUUUCGGCCACGCGAUCGUGAUCGAACGCUCCAGAUGAUGGAGAGGGUUUUGGGCCAACUUGGAGGGGUGUUGUGCUGCAACACACACAAGGCCUUUUUGGUCCCUCGGUUAACCGUUGGAGCAUCAAACGAAGUCCAAAUGGUACGAAACUUGAUAGGCGGUCUAUCUGUAGUAAACCAAGGCCGCUUGGCAAGUCUUGGUCCAAUCUAGAAAUGUUUAAUCCCCACACACGAAAGAAAGGUAGAAAUGACCACCGGAGGAGAACGAAGCGCCGGAAUGCAAAAUGGACAACGGGGAAAAUGCUCGAAUGCAUGAGAUGAACAUGUAUGCAAAUGCAAUGCACGUGAUGACAUGAUACAAGAUGCAUGACAACGACAACAACACACGGAGACAAAAACCCGAACCCAAGAAAAAUAAAAUAACUUAAGGCCGAAAACGGCAAGAGUUGGAGUACAUAUUGGGUAAAUUACAUCCGGGGUGUUACAACACUCCACCACUACGAAAGGAUCUCGUCCCGAGAUCUAGGACUGAAAGAACGCCGGGUACUCAGAACAGAGGUGAUCCUCGCGUUCCCAGGUAGCUUCACGGUCGGAAUGGUGUGACCAGUUGACUUUGAGGAAUUUGAUUGACUUGUUGUGAGUCUUGCGUUCAGUCUCUUCAAGAAUAGCAAUGGGGUGCUCACGAUACGGGAGAUCUUCUUGGAGCUCAAUGUCCUCGAAGUUGACGGUGCGGUCCAGAGUCUUGAAGCACUUUUGAAGCUGAGAGACAUGGAACACAUCAUGAACAUUUGCAAAGUUUGAAGGAAGCUUGAGUUGAUAGGCGAGAUCGCCUCUCUUGCUGACAAUCUUGAAAGGUCCCACGUAUCUAGGGGCAAGCUUCCCUUUGAUACCAAAGCGACGAGUACCUUUCAUAGGAGAGACGCGGAGGUAAACAUGAUCUCCGAUCUCGAAAACCAGAUCACGGUGCUUACUAUCAUAGUAGCUCUUCUGGCGGGAUUGGGCUGCUUUGAGGUUAUCUCGAAUGACUUUGCACAUUUCCUCUGCCUCUGUGAUUAAGUCAUUUCCCAAAAGCUAACAUUCAUCGGUUUCAGACCAGUUGAGAGGGGUACGACACUUCCUGCCAUAUAGAAUUUCAAAUGGGGCCUUGCCCGAACUUGCUUGAAAACUGUUGUUGUAGGAGAAUUCAGCAUAAGGGAGACAAUCCUCCCACUUCAUGCCGAAGGAGAUCACACAAGCCCUGAGCAUAUCUUCAAGAAUCUGGUUGACACGCUCGACUUGACCGCUAGUUUGAGUAUGGAAAGCUGUGCUGAAGCGGAUGUUGGUGCCCAUGGCCUUCUGAAAAGAAUCCCAAAACUUGGAGGUAAAGAUGCUGCCGUGGUCUAAAGAGAUCACUUGUGGAAUACCGUGCAGAGAGACAAUCCGAGAUGUAUAGAGUUCCGCCAAUUGAGCUGCAGUGAUAGACUCUUUGAUAGGCAGAAAGUGAGCCACUUUAGUGAGUUUGUCGAUGACAACGAAUAUAGCAUCAUUGCCACAUUUAGACUUUGGAAACCCAGCCACGAAGUCCAUCUCAAUGUGGUCAAACUUCCAUUCUGGAAUGGCAAGAGGUUGGAGGAGACCCGCUGGCCUUUGGUGUUCUGCCUUCACUCUUCUGCAGACAUCAUAUUCAUUUACGAAUUGAGCAAUCUCGCGCUUCAUUCGAGUCCACCAAUAAGCCUGCUUGAGGUCCUGAUACAUCUUCGUGCUCCCAGGGUGGAUGGAGAGGAGAGAAUUGUGAGCCUCAUUCAUGAUCACUUUACGAAGAUCACCUUUGGGCACAACAAUACGAUCCUCGAAGAAGAGAGUAUCCUUGUCAUCAAGGCGGUAGCACUUGUACUUGGGUUGACUCUUGGCAAUCCCAAUCUUCACCUUCUUCACCAUAGCAUCAAGAAGCUGAGCUUGGCAAAUCUGGUCUUCCAAGGUAGGAGAGACUAGAAGGUUGGCGAGGAAACAUUGAGGAACAACUUGCAGAUUAAGUUUGCGGAAAGCUUCAGAAAGCUCGGGUUGAUAAUGCUUGAGAAUCAGACUGUUGCAAUAAGCCUUCCUGCUCAAUGCGUCAGCAAUCACAUUGGCCUUUCCUGGAGUAUACUCGAUACUCGGAUUAUACUCUUGAAUCAUUUCGACCCAUAGAGUUUGCCUGAGGUUGAGAUUAGGCUGAGUGAAGAUGUACUUGAGACUCUUGUGAUCAGUGAAAAUGUCCACUUUUAUUCCCAAUAAGAGAUGUCUCCAAGUCAAAAGAGCAUGCACACCUGCUGCCAACUCGAGAUCAUGAGUGGGGUAGUUCUUCUCAUUGGGCUUCAACUGGCGAGAGGUAUAAGCCACAACUUUCUUCUCUUGCAUCAACACUGCACCGAGACCUUGGAGAGAGGCAUCACAAAAGACCUCGUACGGCUUGGAUUCAUCAAGCGGAGUCAGAACUGGAGCAGUGAUCAAUUUCUCUUUCAAAGUGUUGAAAGCAAUGUCACACCCCGGAGACCAAACGUACUUGACGUGCUUCUGGAGAAGAUUUGAGAGAGGCUUUGCGAUCUUGGAAAAGUUUUCAACGAAUUUUCAGCAGUAGCUUGCGAGACCGAGGAAGCUACGGAGUUGCUUCACGUUCUGAGGAGGUUCCCAAUUCACAAUUGCAGACACCUUCUCAGGAUUCACGGCAAUGCCCUUGGCAAAGAUGAUAUGACCAAGAUAAAGAACCUCAUCGAGCCAAAAUUCGCACUUGGAGAACUUGGCGUAGAACUUGUGUUCCCUAAGCUUAUCGAGAACCAAACGCAAGUGCUUGGCAUGAUCUUCCUUGUUCUUCGAGAAAACCAGAAUGUCGUCGAGAUAGACCAAAAAGAAGUCAUUGGUGUAGGCGUUGAAGAUGAAGUUCAUCAUGCGAGAGAACGUCAGAGGAGCGUUGACGAGGCCAAAAGACAUGACAGUGUAUUCAUACGAACCAUAGCUUGUCCUGAAGGCCGUCUUGGGAAUAUCUUGCUCACGGAUUCGAAUAUGAUGAUAACCCAUACGGAGAUCAAGCUUGGAGAAUACUUGGGCACCUUUGAGUUGUUCGAACAGCUCGUUGAUGUUAGGAAGUGGGUAUUUGUUCUUGAUGGUCUUCUUGUUCAAUGGACGGUAAUCAACACAAAGUCGGUCCGUUCCAUCCUUCUUCUUCACAAAAAGAACACCACAACCCCACAAAGAAGAACUAGGCCGGAUGAGACCCAUUCUCUCUUGAAUAUCGAGUUGCUUCUUCAACUCCUUCAACUCUUCUGGUCCGAGCUUGUAAGGACGCUUGCACACUGGUUCCGUGCCAGGCUCAAGAUCAAUGACGAAUUCAACUGGCCGGUGCAGAGGCAUUCCUGGAAGCUCUUCUGGAAAGACGUCUUGAUAUUCGCAAAUGACUGGAAUUUGCGAGAUAGCAUCCAGUUCACCCUUCUCAUGGAGAGAAAACAGACGGAUGGUAUCGUCACGAGCGGCAAAGACAAUUACAUCCUCAGACGAAUGAGUCAAUUGAAUCUGCCUGGCUGCACAAUCAAGAUGCGCCUUGUGCUUAGAAAGCCAAUCCAUUCCGAGAAUAAGAUCAAUAUCCGAAUAGCCUAGAACCACCGGAGAAGAGAGAAACUUGUAAUCGCCCAACACACGGAAGAAAGGUAGAAAUGACCACCAGAGGAGAACGAAGCGCCGGAAUGCAAAACGGACAACGGGGAAAAUGCUCGAAUGCAUGAGAUGAACACGUAUGCAAAUGCAAUGCACAUGAUGACAUGAUACGAGAUGCAUGACAAUGAGAACAACACAUGGAGACAAAAACCCGAACCCGAGAAAAAUAAAAUAACUUAAGGCCGGAAACGGCAAGAGUUGGAGUACAUAUUGGGUAAAUUACAUCCGGGGUGUUACAGCCGGGGCCUACUCGACGCCACCAAAGAGGUUGUACACUCAUCGCGUCGCACCUUCUCCUUAGCUCGACCUCCCGGCACCGACGGUGCUCCAUCACGCACCCCCAUGGAGCGGCUACCUUGAAGCCGGCACCGUGGGCGACAUCUCCAUGGCGGCUCUCCCCCAGUGCGAGGCCUCUUCAGUGGCAGCAUCCAUACCAGCUGGAUCUGUUGCUGCUGCUCCGGCUCUUGCUCGUGUUGCUGCUGCAGCUUCGGCUCUCGCUCGAUCACCCAGCUCCUGCUGCUCCGGCUCCCGCUCGCUCACGCUGCUACUGCUGCUCUCCCCCUUGCUCGUGCUGCUGCUCUGCUCCGAUUUAGCUACACUUCAGUUGACUGAAUCGACUUUUGGGUCAGUCAAUUUUCAGGGGGUGGGGGGCUCACCGGAGUUAAGGAAGAACCACCCGCAGCGGGGACGGGGGCUCGCCAGAGAGGUACCCCACUAUCUAUCUUAGGGUUCAAGGUGGGGGCGGGGGGCCUAUAGGGCUGUCCGGGGCGGCAGCGGACCGGCGGUAGGGAGUUGUUUCGAGGCGGUGAGGUGGCACUGGGGCCGGCGGUUCGGCCGGUGGUGGCUGGCGGCUCAGGGGGGUGUAGGCUGAAGAUGAACUGCAGGCCCUCCCUAAACUACAUGUCAAGUGCCUCUCUGCUACCAUUGCGUUCAAUUUCGACAAUAACAUUCAGAUUCCACAGUAAAUUUUAGUUUUGACAGUUAAGUUCAGAGUCAACAGUUUUUACCUCAUCUGUUGUAGUCAGGUGGUUUUUGGUGAUGUAAAUUUUACAUCUAUUUUACAUCAUCUAUUGAAGAUGCUAUUAGAAUCCCACUUGAGAUUGACGAUGUAUGUCUUGUGCUGCUUCAGCCUUGACGUCUUACGGCUCACCGGGUCUGCUCCAACGACAGAAUGAUCCAUCACAACAAAGCAGUGCCCUGGACGCCGUCUACAGAUUCCUCAGAUCUUCCUCCACACCUCCGACAGCCACCUCUACCUCAACUGCUUCAACAACCAACCCAAUGCUGAUGACGUCGACACGGCUACGGCAAAGAGGUUGUACACUUGUUGCAUCACUUAUUACUAUACAUUCAUGUCGAUCCAUUAGGGCUAUUUUGGUUCAACGGGAAAAUAUAGCAAUAGGGAAUUUUCCAAUGGCACUCUACUAUUCAAUUAGUCAUGCAUUUUGUUGAAAGGAAUGAAGCAAAAUAUCCACCUGGACCUACUUUUCAAAAUCCUAUGCAUGAAAACAAGACCAAGUGCAUUAGUGGCGGAAUAGGGUAUGCCUGUGUUGUUUAUAUUGGGUGGGAAACAAAUAGUAAAGCAAUCAUCAUCUGUGUUUUUAUUAAAUUAAAGCAAGCAUCAGCCUGCUAUCAUUAUUUUUGGAUCCAUCCACUGGUUGUUACCAUCACUCCAAAUUUCUGCAUGCUCUCCUUACAUAAUCUCACCAUAUUUUCUCGUAUGCAUGUCAGAUAGUGUACACAGUCAUGCUGAACAUGUAGAGAAAAAGAGAAGAGUUUUGCGUGGCAAUACAAUGUCAUGCAUACAUCGCUCCAUGGUGGGUUCAAUGGCAAACCCUCCCCACCCCUCUCUAGAUUGUAAUCUAGAGCAAGAUAUCUGUUCUGAGGCGGAUUCAGACGCCGCUGACCACUCUUAUUUACCCCCAAGGUGUUUGCUCUACCUUGGCAUGAUGAUGUUAGUCAUAUCAUGCAUAUGUUGCCUUGCAGUGCCUACUUUUGACAUCAUAUAUGUCAUCUGCUUAGUUUAGACAUGUUCUAUAAUGCCACCUGUUUAGUUUCUAUAUCAUAUAUGGGAAUUAUGCAGUCUCAUGUCUUUUAGGCAGCCAUAAUAUACGUGAAAUGUGCAAUGCCAUCAUGUUUAACCAGGCAUCAUAUAUUUGAAUGAUAUCUUGCCCAUCCUUUUGUUCAUUACAUUUCCAUUUGUCGACAAUGUUUGUACAUUAAACUACUCUUCCUGUGAAUCAGCCAUUUGGGUGGGAGAUUGAAAAAUCUAGAGUGAAAACAAGGCCUUCAGAGAAGACAGUGCUACCUGUCGAAGCAGAUCUCUUGUUGGGUCCCGAUAGCUCCUCGGAGAUGGAUUCAGAGAUAGAUGACCAAUCAUAUUCCCCCACCGAGGUGUAUGCUCUAACUUGGCACGGUUAUACUACUCAUAUCAUGCAUACGGUGUCUUGCAUUGCAUAGUUUAGACAUCAUAUACACAAUAUUCAACACCAUGUUCUUAGUUUAGACAUCAUAUCUAAUGCCCUCUGUUUAGCAUAUAAAUCACAUAUGUGAAUUAAAUGAUGCGAUCAUGAUUACUUAGAUAACAUGUAGGUGAAUUACGUCAUGCUAUCCUGUUUAGUUAUUCAUCAUAUCUCUGAAUUAUGUAAUGCUACGCUAUCCAGUUUAGAUAGACAUCAUAUAUGUGAAAUUAUGUGAUGCUAACUAUUUUAGUUAAACAAUAUACAUGUCAACUAUUUCAUGCCCUCUUUUUUCCACACUAUCUAUUACAUCGGUCUCUCAUACAAUGUCUGUACAUUCAACUAUGUUUCCUGUUUAUCAGCCAUUUGAAUUGGAGCGGGUGAUGAGCAUCUAGCAGACUAAAAACACGGUCUUCAAAUAAAAUAGUGCUACCUCUUGGUGGAGAUAGCACCCCGGUUGUACAUGCACGAGAACCAGCCCUACCACACAUAACCCAAACCCUCGCAGAUUGUAACCCUACUGUGAUGGAUAGAGAACCACCUAAAACAGUAUUACCUCUUGGUGGAGAUAGCACCCCAGUUGUACAUGCAUGAGAACCAGCCCUACCACACAUAACCCAAACUCUCGCAGGUUGUACCCCUAAUGCGAUGGACAGAGAACCAGCUUCACCCAAUCUAACCCCAACCCCAGCAGAUAGUAACCCAGUUCCUGUUGACACAGCACCAUCUCCACCACAGAUCUCCCAAUCUAGAGCAGUUAGUAAGGCAGAUCCAGUGCCCAAAGGGCCAGUACUACCACGGUGAACCCCAACUCCACCAGUUAGUACGACUAUUCCUAUGCAGGAAGCACAACCAGCUAGUCAUAGUUUAGCAUCUAUCGCAUUUGAUGUUGUUAAAUCAUAUGUGCGUAUCUUCCCAUCUUGGAAAUAUUAUACUAAAGAUGAAGGAAAAUGCUAGUUGCAGGUGUUUGUCCAGGAGUUAUGUGUAAGUAAUGUUAUUCAUGGCAAUUACUUUGCUUUGUCCCAUACAUCCUGCCUCCAUGAUGGUUAUAAUACAGAAAAUUUUCCCAUUUUUCUCUAUAGAGAAGUACCGAUUUGGAAACUCGGGAUGAGGUAACCUCUGCUAUCUUCAAGAAUGCUUGGUGGCAGUAUCAGAAUUACCUGAACAAAACGUACUUCACCGGCAAAGAAACUCAUCAAAUUCCCUUACGUUCUCCUGAGACACAUUUAGUAGACGAUGACUGGGGACGCCUUGUUAUGUACUGGUCCCGAACGAAGAAUGUGGUAAGGUCUAUGAGCUCAUUUUAUAUUUUUUAAGUACUAUAUUCUUGCGUCUUACUAUACUCUGUAAAUGUAGAACAAGUGCCUAAACCUGAAGAAUAACUGUUCAAAUUUAAGAUUCCAUUGCUAUCAUAGUUCAAAAAAGCGCUAGGCGUUAAUUGUGUGUUUUGCCACCGCCUUGCGCUUUACAGACCAAAGCGCAUGCUUAUGCGUAGUUAUGCACAUAUUAAGCAUAGUUAUGCGCAAUGCAUUUCGCCAACGCCUAGAACCUAGCCACGCUUAAGCGCUCGCUUAGGCGCGCCUUUUUUAACUAUGAUUGCUAUCAUGCAUACUGCUUUGCUCUUGUAUCACUGUAUUUACUCAUACAAACUUAUUUUUAAAUUGAAGGAUCCAAUCGAAACUCCAAUGGCACAGCAGGUAUGUUCACGCAUGUUUCUUUAACAGGCUUGCUCUUAUCAAUAGCUCUGUUGAUUUCAAUUUCAAUUGUGUAUACAGUUGACUUCUCAUAUCAUGCACAUUACUAGCAUCACAAUAGAGCCAAUAGUGUUGUUGUACAUGUAGACCCGUGGUACCCAUCUGAAAUCUUGUUGUGUCGUGUAGUUUCCCACGCUUUGUAUUCUUUCACUGCUGCUUUGUCUUGAACUGAUAUGAUUUGAACCGUGUCUCUAUUUUGAUUUGGCAAGACAAUGCAGUGACCAUAAGACAUAGAUAUAUGUUUGUUUGAUGCUUUUAUUAUGUACUAGUACUUGGCAAUAGAAAACUUGUAGUUUAAUCCUGUCCACCUUACUAAUGAACUGGUUCACCGAAAUGAGUUUCAUAUACUAGUACAUGCUAAACCUGUUAUGUGUCUGCUUGUUUCUUCUUUUAGAAUGCUGACAGAAUAUUGGGGAAGGGUGCCUUAUUAAGCAAUGGUAAAGGAAGUAAUGCAGAUAAGGUUCAGGAUAGUGACACAUCCUUGUUAGUCUCCAACAAAGCGGAUAAAACAGCUAAGGAAGACUAUCUCAAAGACAGUGAGACAACCCCAGAGUCCUGUCUUGGUUUAGUGUUCGAGUUACUGGCCACUACCGCUUGCACAACCUAUUCAAACUCACUGUCUGAAUCACACUACAAGAAAUAUGUCAACUUGUGACCCUCACUAUUGGCUGCUAAAAGGUCAUAGUUUUUCAUUUGCGACCUUUGGUGACCAAAAACAGAAGGUCAAAAGCUGGCGGUCGUAAACUGAAAUUGGCGACCUUCUCUGUGAGAAGGUCGUAGACGUUUACGACGAAAACAGAAGGUCGUUGAACCCAUGACCUUUUGUUUUGGUCAUUGGCUGUCUGUCCAGGCCAUGUCGGACCCGACGUGGCAAAAUUGCGACCAAAUGAAAAGGUUGUUGGUUAAAAUUAGCCUGGUCCAGUUCGCUGUUCUACAUGGGCCUGGCCCAACAAUUCAGCCUAUUUGAUUUUUUUCUGUCAAUUUUUUGGUUAACUUCAUGGGCCAAGCCCAACAUUGUAGCCUUUUUUAUUGUUGGGCCGAUUUCAUAUUCCUUUUUUAUUAAAUGGGUCCACUAGUCAGAUGGGUCCCAGUGAAUGUAAUAGUUUAACUCAUGUUAACUAGCAGUAACCUUCACAAGACAGCCUCAAACGAACCAUCUAGUCAACUCAUGUUUAUAGCUAACAGAAGCAAGUGUAUGUAUUUGUUUAACUCAUGUUAACUAACAGUAACCUUCACAAGAGAGCCUCGAACGAACCAUCAAGUCAACUCAUCAUACAACACAUUUACAGCUAACAGCAGCAAUACAUCAUACAUCAUAGAGAACGUUCACAGAAACCAACAAACUAAACUAGAGUCACAUCAUAAGCUCACAAGCAUGGCUGUCGCAGCAGUUUGUUUCUCCAGUAAGGACAGUGACUUUCUUCCUCGACCAGACAGCAGCCCAGCUCACAUCCUCUACCUCCUCACAGGAGGCGCGCCACCUCAUCUCCUUCAACAGGGGGAUCACCACCACGUCCACCAGCAGCCUGCAUGAAGUAGAACAUGAAAAGAGCAACAUCUAAUUAACUUGAUUGCCUUGCAGAUGACACACAAGAUGAAGAGCACUUGGACAGAAGCUAGUAUACUUGUGGCUGUAGUUGACCUAAUCUAAUCUAAUGGGAACAACAUCACAAUUCACAAGCAAGCACCCGUACUCUUGAAUUCAGUUUACAGUUUCCAACUGAAAUAAGUUCAGUUGAAAGCAAAGCAGAGAACAAGAAGGAUUAGCAGAGAGCUCACCAUGGCUGUCAUGUGGCCGACGUGGAAGAGGCAGCAUGUCCAUCCAAGCAGGAUCAGCAGCACCAGCAGAUGGGCCACUCAUUGUCCUGGAUAUUUGCCUUGACAUUGUCAAUUCUGUCAGAGGACUCGACCUCAAGUGUGAUGGUAUUCCCGGUGAGAGUCUUCACAAAGACCUACAUCUGAAUAGUUGAGAAAACAGGACAGGUCAGGCAUAUAUGAACAAAUCAAGAAGGAAACAGACACGAACAUAAAUAAUAUAAAUCUUGCAAGUUGCAACAGAUACGCGUAGUUGGAAAUUGCAAACGAAGCAAAAUAAAUCAACAUGGUAGAGGCCAAACAAAUCUACAAAGUCAUGAAGCAACAUGAAGUGGAAGAUCUAAACCUUAGAAUAAAGGUAAACCUGCAUCUUUAUCUGUAUAUUAACAAAUAACAAUAGUAGAGCAGGUGUACAUCAAAGACAUGGACUGGAAGACAAUCUGACUGUUAGUACUAUCUACUUCUAGUUCAAAUUAAGCAGAUUUCUACGAUAGGUCGAUCUAAAUGUAGCACAUUAAUUGUAAGUCUAACAUACAAAUGCAGUACUAUGUCAUUUCAUCAGAUAUAGUUCUGUGGCUGAGGAUGUCACUGAAACUAAGCAGUACCCUCAAAUGAAAUAGUUUAAACUGCUUUGUCUAUAUGUCUGCUUAGAUCUCAUGCAUCACUACGAAAUACAGUAGUUUCAAAGCAAAUUUCAUAUCAGAAUAUGUUUACAUUGUUCAAGUAUACUAUAUGUUUGCACUGUUCAAGUAUACUAUAUGCACCAGAAUGUAAUCAGGUGCAUAUGUUGCCAGACAGAGAUGCCAUCUGUAUAUACCUAGAAUCAAUCACAAGGUAUAGGGAGGGAAUUAGUCACAUGUAUUCUUACUAUUACUGCUAGGUUGCUAGCUAGCUGCAUGUAUCCAUCUAGUAGGUAGUCACAAGUCAGAACACACCUAAAAUAACUUGCAUUCCACAAGAACGUCAGAUGUACAAUGUUUAAAUUGUAUAAAUAAUUUUACUUCUUCUCGGAAGCAUGCUUGGAACCCACAUGUUACAUAUCUAUGCAUAUAUCCCCAUACAACAACAGAACCAAUACAGCAACUAAGCCUAUAAACUUUUUGCUCCCAGCCAGCAUCAUAAAUUUUCUCAGCUAGUACUAACUACCAAGCUGGUCACUGCCUCAGCCAUACUAUAGUAAGACGUCCUUAUAUACUACUCCAUACAGUACUGGCUGAUAUGUAAUAAACCAGCAGGAAACUGUGUGUUUUCUCCCAGCCAUAUCAUACACCAAAAGCACUGUGCCCAGCAAUGAGGUCGGCAUCAUUGAUUCCUGAAAUUUUAUGUAUUGUUCGAUGAACUUAACUCAAACAAUAAUAUGUCUAAGAACGACCAGACUACAAGUGAAGCUUAUGAUUACGGAUAUAGAAUCUAAACACCGAGUUUAAAUAUUUUAGUUCAGAACAUAAAUGUAAUCUGAUGAUGUCCAUCACAUUCCUAUGCUUCCAUGAUGAAUUAUACACUUAAUAGCUACCAACAAGCAUAGGCAAUUAUGUAUGACAAACUAAAACAAUUUCUGCUCAACACGUGUAGUGGGUUUAACUUUUACAAUAAAGUAAAUUACGAGAUAUAUCAUAAGAAUUAAUAUCCCAAGGAGCAGAUCAUUGUACAGUUUCUCGUCCAACAAAACAUGUAUGCAGGAGCAUGACUAGUGUAUUCAACAAGGUGUGGUGCAUCUAGGGAGUUCAAGCGAGGUGACAUGUAGUUUCUCACAAGCACGUGCUCAGAGCAAGCAAACAGAGGCGGGGAGAAGAGAGCUCACCAUGGCUCUCAUGUAGCCGACGCCGAAGAGGUGGCAUGUCCGUUCAACAGAAAACGCUGGGGCCGAGCGAGCCUACCACCGCACACCUCGAUGAGCCCACCCUUGUACUCUGCAAAUCCUGUUGUCGCUGCACAUGAAGGAAAAUAGACAUAACAAGAUAAUGUUGAUCAAAUCGAAGGAUAAAUCAUGUCCAGGAACAAAGGAGCAGCUUAGAUAGCUCACAUUUCAUAUCCUGGAAAUCAUGUCGAGGUACACCGAACAACACCUAUCAAUGCUCAGCAGCUGCACCAUGAUACACAGAAUAAAAAAAGAGGUCAAUCACCUCCACAAACACCAGCACCUUGAGAAGGAAUUGUGCCAGCUGCGAAAUAAGGAAGGAGUCUCUGCUUCAUUCAUUCUAUACUAUUUGCAAUUUCAGUUUGGUUUAGAAUUAGAAAUGAAUCUUGAACAAAAAGGAAAAUAAAAGGUGUUCUCCAUAUUUGUUCUUCAUACAAGAAACUGAACCAACAAGUUGUUUCAGUCAGAGUUGAACCAAAUACGUAUUUAAUCAUGCCUAAAAUACAUCACAUCCACAUCACACACCAAAUUAACAUAGGAAGCAGGGGAGUAGGUCCAUGUACCAAUCCAUCACCUUGAUGGAGUUAGGGGAAGAGAAGAAGCAGAGUAGGGAGGCCGAUGGCAUCCCUCCCAAGCAGCAGCACAACACAUCAUGCCUUCUUCUCCCAUGGUGACGUCCUGGCUCGAAAGAGAGAUGAGAAGGGGGUCAGACAGAGAGAAGAAGAAGAAAAGAUGAGGGGAAGAGAAAGGGAUUCAGAUAUCAAAAUGUCAAACUAGCAUUCAGAUAUCAAAAUGUCAGACUAGCAAAAUGUCCAACUAGCAUUCAGAGAUCAAAAUGUCAGAAGUUCACACACACCAACACCAAAUCAUACUUCUUCUGUCAACUAUAAAUCCACUUAUUGGGGGUUUCUACGAUUUUUUUACCAAAUGUUUUUCCUUCACAAAAAGCUAUCAGUUGGUCCUGAAUUUUAUCUUCACAGGGAUGUCAAUCAACCACAA
rnacentral:lncRNA from 1 species